rnacentral:lncRNA from 1 species
CUCUGUUCCCCAUCGUGUUUUUGGGAGCACUUGUUUCGUUCAUAACUUAGCCCCUGGGAAAUAUAAGUUAGCUCCUCGUGCUCUCAAGUGUGUCUUCCUUGGUUAUUCUCGUGUUCUGAAGGGCUAUCGUUGUUAUUCACCCGAUCUUCGUAGGUACCUUAUGUCAGCUGAUGUCACAUUUUUUGAGUCUAAACCUUUCUUUACCUCUUCUGACCAUUCUGACCAUCUUGAUAUAUGUGAGGUUUUACCUAUACCGACCUUUAGGGAGUCUACUAUAGCUCCUCCUUCACCUUCCGCCACAGAAGUCUUACCUGAGUCUACUAUAGCUCCUCAUUCGCCUUCCACUACAGAAGUCUUACCCAUUCCAACCGUUGGAGAGUCUAGUGUGGCUCCUCCUAGACUCCCUGCCACAGAAACUCCACUCUUGGCAUAUCAUCGUCGUCCUCGCCCAGCAUCCGGCCCAGCUGAUUCACGUUGUGCACCUGAGCCUGCUCCUACUGCGGACUUGUCUCUUCCGAUUGCUCUUCGGAAAGGUAUACGGACCACCCUUAAUCCUA